GAUUGUAUAGCUUGGUGGUAGAGUGCGUGCUUAGCAUGCACAAGGUCCUGGGUUCAAUUCCCAGCACCUUCG
rnacentral:tRNA from 1 species